CUGGCUCUCGAAAUCCUAAAGGCAUCAGUCUUUGAUGAGCACACUUGUUGCGCAAUGUGUGCAGCCGUGAAGCCUCCGGGAUCUGGACCUCCCAUUACAGACUGGGUCCAGUGUGAUGACUGUGAACGAUGGUUUCAUGCCCUGUGUUUGGCAAUGGACAGCAACAGUUAUGAAAAGGCCAAGAAAGGAGACUGGGAAUG